rnacentral:rRNA from 1 species
GUGGGGAAUCUUGCGCAAUGGGCGAAAGCCUGACGCAGCCAUGCCGCGUGAAUGAUGAAGGUCUUAGGAUUGUAAAAUUCUUUCACCGGGGACGAUAAUGACGGUACCCGGAGAAGAAGCUCCGGCUAACUUCGUGCCAGCAGCCGCGGUAAUACGAAGGGGGCUAGCGUUGCUCGGAAUUACUGGGCGUAAAGGGCGCGUAGGCGGACAGCUUAGUCAGAGGUGAAAGCCCAGGGCUUAACCUUGGAAUUGCCUUUGAUACUGGCUGUCUUGAGUUUGGGAGAGGUGAGUGGAACUCCGAGUGUAGAGGUGAAAUUCGUAGAUAUUCGGAAGAACACCAGUGGCGAAGGCGACUCACUGGCCCAAUACUGACGCUGAGGCGCGAAAGCGUGGGGAGCAAACAGGAUUAGAAACCCUGGUAGUCC